ACCCAGCUCGUCCUUAUGUUCCUGCCGUGGUUCAUUGUGGAGGCAUACACCUGCGUCCAGCACAACCUCUCUCACAAGAGCUUGAAGACUGGGUACAAGAUGCUGGUGAUGCUGGCUUCAUCUUCUUCAGUCUUGGCUCAGCUGUCACGCCCUCCAGUAUGCCAGAGGAGUACCGCACAACCUUGGUUCAAGUGUUUGCUUCCCUCAAGCAGAGAGUCUUAUGGAAUGGGAUCGGGGACCCCUGGAUGACCUACCACCAAAUGUCCGUCUUGGCAAGUGGCUCCCACAACAAGAUAUUCUUGGUGACCCUCGCUUGCGUUUGUUCAUCACCCACGGUGGGUUGCUGAGUACCUUGGAGUCCAUGUACCACGGUGUAGCGGUGCUGGGAAUGCCUGUGUUUGCUGACCAGUAUUCCAACAUGAACACUGCUAAAGGGGGACGGCUGGGGCAGAGUUCUUCUCUGGGAACAACUUACUUUUGAUAAUCUCAAGAAUGCGAUCAGCAUCAUCAUGAA